UGGGCAUUCGGCCGUGCAGUGAGGGGAGAAGGGGCGCGAGGCUGGCCGGGCAGAUACUGCCCGCUCCGGAGGCCGCCUAGCAUGCUGGGAGUUGUAGUUUGAGGCUGGAUAGCGUUGCGGGCGUGGAGGCUUCAAACUCCAAGGUUUGACUUCAGCCUGCCCUUACUAAUGCCGUCGUUAUUGGCUUCCGUUAAGGACCAUUGUCAUUCCUGGAUAUGCGGAAGUUGAAUGAACGCUAGCGAAGCCUAACCAAGGAAGAGUGAUUACAGGGAAUGAAGGGCUAAUUUCUGUGGACUCGGCCCUCCUUAUAGUUCAAAAUUAAGGGCCGGUGCUGUGGCACAGUGGGGUGAGCCUCCUCAGCAUCCCCUAUGGGCACCGGUUCAAGUCCCAGCUGCUCCUCUUCUAAUCCGGCUCCCUGCUAUGGCCUGGGAAAGCAGUGGAGGACGGCCCAAGUCCCUGGGCCCCUGCACCCACGUGGGAGACCAGGAAGAAGCUCCGGGCUCUUGACUUCAGAUUGGCGCAGCUCCAGCCAUUACGGCCAUUUGAUGAGUGAACCAGCGGAUGGAAGAUCUCUGUCUCUCCCUCUCUUUCUCUGUAACUCUGCCUUUCAAUUAAAAUAAAUCUUAAAAAAAAAAAAAAAAAAAGACUUGGGAGCCGUUGGAGGAUCCUUAGCAGUGGGGGAGGCAGGAGCAAAUAUUUUGUUGGGAAAAUCUUCCUAAGCCGCAGCCUGGCUUUCCUUCUGAAGAACAGGGCGAGGGAGCUCGUGUGAAAUCAGGAACAGGGAGGCGGCCUUCGCAGCUGCCUCUCCCCAGAACUCAGCCUUCCUCCCUGAGCCGCAGCCUGCACGUGGGCCUGCAGCACCGUGGGCCCAGCCUCCUGCUUGGUGCUGUGGGCUUUGAGAAGGAGUGUGCCGAGGAGUGGGCGUUUGGUCUAGUGGUUAACUCGCCCACAUCCCGUAUGUUCAAGUCCUGGCCCUGCUCAGUGAUUUGUCCCAAGUCUCAUUGCUGCGUAGUGUGGUGCUGAGACUUAACCUGGCCGGUUUAACACAAAGGCUGGUGCACUAGCUAGAUUGCUCUCCUCCUUGUGCUUCCCUGAGGGAGAACAUACGGGGAGACAUGGCUGGAGGGGUGAGCUGGGCGCGGUCACGGAAAACCUUGUUUCAGGGGAAGGAGUCUGGAUUUCAUCUCACUGGUGAGAGCCUCUGGGAGGGUUUUUUGUUUUUGUUUUUUUUUUUUUUUUGGAAGCUUUUAAAUAAAGAAUAAAUAUUAAUGAUAUUUGUGAAGUAUGGUAUAAAUUUAAUUGCGUAUUAAUAUUUAUUUAAAAUAAACAUAGGGAAAUUUUUAGAACCAGGAGUCAAAGGAGUCAUCAUCUCCAAUGGACCCAGAGGGUUGUUCCUCAAACAAAACUGGAGGCGGCGUUGUAUUCCCAGCCUCGUGCUCAGCGCCAAGGGCAGGGGGGUGACUGAGUUGCAGGUCAC